UUUGUGUUUUUCUAAAUUUUUUUCUACUCGUCUUAUCGCUCGAGCGACACUUGCUCUAAGGUCCUUCUGGUCGAGCUCAAGCUUCAAGCCUCCAUAGCAGAAGCUUGAAGCUCUCUUGCCCCUCUCUCUCUCUCCAUCUCUCUCUUCGUCCCUCUCUCUCAUCAGUAACUUUUAGGGCUGGGCAUCUGAGUACCGCCCUCGCCGCCUCCUCUCGUCUCUACGAUUCUGUCAGUUGAAGUCUCGACGUCACACGUCAUCGAACAUGCGCGCACCAUUGGCUCGUCGUGAAUUGGAGUUGCUCAUCUCCGAUCUCUACAAUUGGUGACAUUAUUAGGGCCCGAAUGGAAUUGUACACAAUUUGCAUGAUCUUGAUGUGGUAGAUGAAGAAAGCUCUUGCGGAAAUCAAGCUGGGAACACACCCAUUUGCAUGAGUGAGGACAAUGCUAAUGAAAUUAGUGAUGCUAGAGAUUAGAUAGCCGGAGCAAUAUCAUUAGUCUUAGAAUUUAUUAGUCUAGAAUAUUUUAAUUUAAUAUGUAUUAUUUAAGACUUGAAGAUCAAUUGAGUUUGACGAUCAUUAUAUAUGUAUGGCAUUAAAAUAUAGAUUUUAAAA